rnacentral:rRNA from 1 species
ACAUGCAAGUCGAGCGAACGGACGAGAAGCUUGCUUCUCUGAUGUUAGCGGCGGACGGGUGAGUAACACGUGGAUAACCUACCUAUAAGACUGGGAUAACUUCGGGAAACCGGAGCUAAUACCGGAUAAUAUUUUGAACCGCAUGGUUCAAAAGUGAAAGACGGUCUUGCUGUCACUUAUAGAUGGAUCCGCGCUGCAUUAGCUAGUUGGUAAGGUAACGGCUUACCAAGGCAACGAUGC